rnacentral:rRNA from 1 species
AGUGAACGCUGGCGGUAGGCCUAACACAUGCAAGUCGAACGGCAGCACAGUAAGAGCUUGCUCUUACGGGUGGCGAGUGGCGGACGGGUGAGGAAUACAUCGGAAUCUACUUUUUCGUGGGGGAUAACGUAGGGAAACUUACGCUAAUACCGCAUACGACCUACGGGUGAAAGCAGGGGAUCUUCGGACCUUGCGCGAUUGAAUGAGCCGAUGUCGGAUUAGCUAGUUGGCGGGGUAAAGGCCCACCAAGGCGACGAUCCGUAGCUGGUCUGAGAGGAUGAUCAGCCACACUGGAACUGAGACACGGUCCAGACUCCUACGGGGGGCAGCAGUGGGGAAUAUUGGACAAUGGGCGCAAGCCUGAUCCAGCCAUACCGCGUGGGUGAAGAAGGCGUUCGGGUUGUAAAGCCCUUUUGUUGGGAAAGAAAAGCAGCAGGUUAAUACCCCGCUGUUCUGACGGUACCCAAAGAAUAAGCACCGGCUAACUUCGUG